AAGGGUUUCGGCUCGUAAAACUCUGUUAUUAGGGAAGAACAAACGUGUAAGUAACUGUGCACGUCUUGACGGUACCUAAUCAGAAAGCCACGGCUAACUACGUGCCAGCAGCCGCGGUAAUACGUAGGUGGCAAGCGUUAUCCGGAAUUAUUGGGCGUAAAGCGCGCGUAGGCGGUUUCUUAAGUCUGAUGUGAAAGCCCACGGCUCAACCGUGGAGGGUCAUUGGAAACUGGGAAACUUGAGUGCAGAAGAGGAAAGUGGAAUUCCAUGUGUAGCGGUGAAAUGCGCAGAGAUAUGGAGGAACACCAGUGGCGAAGGCGACUUUCUGGUCUGUAACUGACGCUGAUGUGCGAAAGCGUGGGGAUCAAACAGGAUUAGAUACCCUGGUAGUCCACGCCGUAAACGAUGAGUGCUAAGUGUUAGGGGGUUUCCGCCCCUUAGUGCUGCAGCUAACGCAUUAA
rnacentral:rRNA from 1 species